rnacentral:rRNA from 1 species
AUGAACGCUAGCGACAGGCCUAACACAUGCAAGUCGAGGGGCAGCACAAGGAGCAAUCUGAGGUGGCGACCGGCGCACGGGUGAGUAACACGUAUGCAACCUGCCUGUAAGCGGGGAAUAACCCGUUGAAAGACGGACUAAUACCGCAUAAUACUAAAUUACUGCAUGGUAAUUUAUUUAAACAUUUAUGGCUUACAGAUGGGCAUGCGCAUGAUUGGCUAGUUGGAGAGGUAACGGCUCCCCAAGGCAACGAUCAUUAGGGGUUCUGAGAGGAAGGUCCCCCACACUGGUACUGAGACACGGACCAGACUCCUACGGGAGGCAGCAGUGAGGAAUAUUGGUCAAUGGACGAGAGUCUGAACCAGCCAAGUCGCGUGCAGGAAGAAUGUUCCCUAUGGAUUGUAAACUGCUUUUACAGGGGAAUAAAGUGCAUCACGUGUGAUGUUUUGUAUGUACUCUGCGAAUAAGGAUCGGCUAACUCCGUGCCAGCAGCAGC